ensembl:lncRNA
GAAACUUGUGUUGGGGAGGAUUCAGUGUCUUUUGAGAACCAUGUGAAUGUGCUACAAAGUGAGUAUCAGAAAACACCUCCAGACACCUGGACUGUCAAAGACCACACGGCAGGAACAUUCUCCUGGAGACGCUGAGAAAUCACGGAAGGAAUGUCUGUGGAGGAUGUACUCAAAAAACACCCAUACUUAAGGACACCUGCCGGAGUGAGUAUAGUAAAAUAAAUAAUCAACUGUAAAAUAUCUUGUUUCAAAUCUUUUCAUGUAAUAUUUUAUUAUUCUGUACCCUGUUAAAAAUUUAAAACAAUGUAAGAUUUAACAGUGUAUACAAGAACAUGAAAUGCAUCGUAUAUUGUGACCCUUAUACAUUAGCCUUCUAAUAGUUUUUGCAGUUCUGCACUGUAUGUAGCUACACUGUCUGAGCCAAAGAGGAUGGAACAGAAUCUGAUGAAUUUGAAAAGUGUCUUCUUUUUUUUUAAAUUAUUAUUAUUUUUUAUUAAAUUUUAUUUUUUAUUUUGUGAAGGGGGACCCUGCUACACCCUUUCAUACCAUACAGCUGAUGGAUACUGACUGAAAAAUGGCAAUCAUAGGAGGAGGGUUCAGUGUGAUGACAGAAGCUGGAAUAGACAUGUGCCAGUGCACCAGCCUUGAUGAAGCCUUCAUAACAGCCUUCUGGAUGUAUUCUGCUUUCAACAUUGCAUAUCCAACACACCUGAGAAAAACACUGACUUUCCUUCAGAGGCACAUUGUCAACAUUGUGGAAGAUGGAGACAAGCACUGCCAGUAACUUUCCUCUGAGUGAUCAGCCUUUUGUAUUAGAUCCUCAUGCCUCAACUGUACCAUUACACAAAGUGCACUCGAAGGACAUUCACUCUUUUGAAGUUAAUCCAACAUGUUGGAGUUGCACAUGCACAUGAACCAAAUUUUAGUAUAACCUGUGGUAUAGAUGAGUGCCAAUCAACUUUUUUGUGAUUCCAUUCUUUUAGAAAACAUGCACAGACUGGAAGUCUGUCAGUCCAGAUGUGAGGAAGACCUACAGAGUGAGUUUGAGCUCAGCAGGUGUGAUGGCUGUGGAUACAUCUACAGAAACACCACUGGAUACUGUAGCCAUGGAAAGAAGUGGGUCUUCAUAGCUUUCUAUUCAGACAAAGAGUUUGCUGGAUUCUGUUCUAUGGACUGCUACUACAGAAUGAAUGAAUGAAUGAGUGGUUUAUCUGUCUGUCUAUCUAUCUAUCUAUCUAUCUAUCUAUCUAUCUAUAUAUUUUAUUUUUUUUACUUGAAUUGGCGACUGAAACUGGAAGCUAAAUAAAUGUUUUAGUGGAUAAAGCUGUGUCUGUUUGCUUAUGCAACUUAACAUAAGGUUACUAAACUCUUCUGACUAAUUUUUACAUUUUAUAAUUUAGUGGUUUUGUCAACUAUAUAUUUUUCUCUAUCAGGCAAAACAUUUUUCGAGGGUAACACUUUACAAUUAGUUUCAUUUGUUGACACUGAUGUAUUAACUAACAUUAACUAUUAUUUAUUAAACGUUGUAAGUUAAUAAAAAUACAGCUGUUCGUUGUUUAUUCUUGUUAGUUCACUUCACAGUGCAUUAACUAAUGUUAACAAAUACAACUUUUGACUUUAAUUUAAGAACAGCUAGUGCGACUAACCGUGUUAAGAGACGUUUGUAUUCUCGAAAAAUAAUUGUAAUUUAAAUCAAGACCUAAAUUUGCGGUGGUGAUGACGUCAGUAACCCGCACCAUGCAAGUUUUGAAGGUACUUUCAAAAGUAAUUUAAAAUAAUAUUCUUAAUAUCAUUAACGCCGUUUUUACCUUGGAAGAAUUAAAUUUGGUUUUAUAGGAUUAUGUUGAAUUUAUGGUUUCCUUUUAAUCUGCGAUUAAGAGUAUAUGGCUCGCCAUCUUUUUUUUUUUUUUUUUUUUUACAGCCAUCUUUCGCAUUACCUUUUGGCACGCCCCCUACCUUUCGUUUCACCAAUGAGAAACCUUUUGGCACGCCCCACACCUUUCGGCACGCCCCCACCUUUUGGCACGCCCAUUGCUCCAGGCUGCAGUUACCCCUACUUGUAUUUAGUGGCAGAAACAAGCUUCCAUAAACAGCCCACAAGGUGGGAGUAUUGUAUUGUAUUAUAGCAAGAGAUCCAUGAUGAUGAUAUUCUGCUGUGUUCAGUGACGAGCGCCAAAGUAUUCUUUUAGGCAGCGGCUAUUUGCACUAGGUGUAAAUAGCAUAAUUUGUUAGCGAUAGAUGGAUAGAUUUACACUACGUGCAAAUAGCAGUAUUUUUUUAACGAUGUUAAACAUUUACAAAAACACUAUAAACAUUUAAAACACUAUAGAUUAUAUUUACAAUAUGUUAAAAUAGCAAGAUUUUCUGCUAUUUUUACUACUUAUUUCAAAUAGUGGCAAUUAUCUGCACAUCAGUAGUGCAUUAUAAAACAGUACGCAAUAAUAACGUAGUGAUUGUAAAUUAUCAUUUUAAUUAAAAAUUUUAAAUGGAUGCCACCUUACUGGGACAAAAAAGCCCUCACUACACCUACCCUAACCCUACCCAAUAUUUAUUUUCAUCUUUUUAAUUAUUUCCUUGAUUUUUAUUGAAAAUAAAUGCCUUUACGAUACGAUAUGAGAUUUGAAAAAGGAGAAAAAAAUGUUUGGCAAAAGGCGGAUGCGAACUCGGGUCGAUUGCAUCAAAAUGCACACACUUUAACCACUAAUCCACUACAAUUUACGCUGAGUUAGCGUCGUUUAUCAAUAUUAACUAUCCCAAUCACGUGUUGGUGGGCGAUAGUAUAAGUAGUCUCUGAAACAACGCAGGCUUACACUUAGUGUAAAUAGACACUGAUUCUUUUAACAUUAUAUCAAAUGUUGCUACGGCUGACAUGAGGCUUAUGCAUGUGUUCGUUUGUAAAUAAAGCCUAACAAAAUUUAAUCCACAGCACACACGUCUCAUCAUUACGAUAUAAAACCAGAUAAAAGCCUAUUUAAGUCUCUCUGUAUAGCCUACCACUUUUACACAUGCUUCAGCUACAUUUUUAUUUCCAUACUUUUGAAUUACUUCUGUAUAAAACAGUUUUAAAUCACCCAAAGACGCAGGACCUUUAUUAUACAACUCUUAGACAAAAUUGCGGAUGACAACCGUUUCCAAGCCAGGAUUGGUUAAAUAAAAUGUUUAAGGUGGGGCUCAACAAAGGUGUAUUUGCAUGCACAUUGUAGAUAUCUACAAACAUAUUUUGACUAGUCAAAUUGUUAAUUUCCAGAUAUCUACAUUGCAAUUACGCCUAGUCACAAAGCUAAAUGCAGAUAUCUCUAAAUAUAGUUCUUCCUAGUCAAAAAUCUGAUUGGGAUAUCCAUAAUUAAAUUGCAGAUAUCUUUAAAGGGGUUUUAAAGUCAUAAUUCCAAUUCAAGAUAUCUUUAAAUAUAAUUUGCCUAGUUAAAAUUCCAAUUAAACAUAUCUACAACUGUAAUUUGACUAGUCAUAAAUGAAUUGCAGAUAUCUACAAAUGUAUUUUGAAUAUCUUUAAAAAUUUGGAAUUAAAGAUAUCUUUAAUUGUAUUUUGACUAGUCAAAUCAUAUUUAAAGAUAUAUUGAAUUGGGAUUACGACUAGUCAAAACUCAUUUGAAGAUAUCUCUAAUUGAAUUGUCACUAGUCAAAUUGUAAUUUGAGAUAUCUCGAAAUUAUAUUUAUGGAGAGUCAAAACAAAGUUUUAAAUGUUAAAAUGGCUUGCCAUACUACUCUUGCCUACUUGUUUGCACAACAAACACUACAGCCAAAUUAAACACUAAAAGAAACUACAGCUUUCAUCUGUAAAAGAGAAAAGCAAUAUACAAAUAUACCUUUUUAAAUCUUAGGGACAGCGCUUUUGCAAGUUUCCUUAUUGUGCGCUAAUUCCAUGCCAUGGCCUGGAUUGUAAUCAUGUCUGUUCUGGCUAAAAAAAUGUAAAAAAUAAUCAUAAAUAAUUAAUAGCUCUCCUUGAUGUUGCAUAAUUUUUCACUUUAUCUUUUUUUUAAAGGCUGAUAUGAAGAUGGUCUUGG